CUCCAGGGUGCUUUCAGCUUCAUGUUAACCCAGAAGCAUGGGAGAUGAGACUCUGGUGUCCUGAUACAGAUUGUUUUGCAUCCGUGCAUCACAGUUUGUGCCUGCGGGUGAAUAACUCAUCCUUGGUACAGUGAAUCUCUAAGAAUGGAAAAACUAUCUGCCUCACGGGAAGCCUACUGCACCGGUGUACAAUUUUCCUGCUUUAGGGAGUGAGAAUUAAACAUCCCCAGUAGGUCCCUUCUGGGCCAUUUCCC